rnacentral:rRNA from 1 species
GAUGAACGCUGGCGGCGUGCUUAACACGUGCAAGUCGAACGAUGAAGCCCAGCUUGCUGGGUGGAUUAGUGGCGAACGGGUGAGUAACACGUGAGUAACCUGCCCUUGACUCUGGGAUAAGCCUGGGAAACUGGGUCUAAUACUGGAUAUGACUUCUCAUCGCAUGGUGGGGGGUGGAGAGAUUUAUUGGUCUUGGAUGGACUCGCGGCCUAUCAGCUUGUUGGUGAGGUAAUGGCUCACCAAGGCGACGACGGGUAGCCGGCCUGAGAGGGUGACCGGCCACACUGGGACUGAGACACGGCCCAGACUCCUACGGGAGGCAGCAGUGGGGAAUAUUGCACAAUGGGCGCAAGCCUGAUGCAGCGACGCCGCGUGAGGGAUGACGGCCUUCGGGUUGUAAACCUCUUUCAGUAGGGAAGAAGCGAGAGUGACGGUACCUGCAGAAGAAGCGCCGGCUAACUACGUG